GUAGACAGACUCAGACCUUUUAAUAAGGAAAUGUUGAUACCUCUCUGUCUCUGAUGAGUAAACUGAAUAGCCAUGGAGAUUAUUCCAGGCUGGAUGACCUUCUUAUUUUAAAUUUAAAUUAAGAGAACCUCUAGACUUGCCACUGCCACAAGGAAUGACUGCCUUCUGUGCUGAUGACAGAUCUACCCCUCUGUUAUCAGACACUGCUCUUUUGCCAUCUCAGUUUCAUAACAAUUGCCUCUGCCUGGGAGCCAGUGGAGCAGCCAUGUUGGGCAAAGCAGUUCUCCGAGGAGGAGAAUGAUGGAUGAUGGAGUGAUUCCCUUCAACAUGGCUGGGGCACUGAGUCUCCUGCUGAGCUCUGGGCAUGCCUGAGGACCUCUAGUGCUCCUUUCCAGUGCAACUUCAGCUGCUCCAGUGCAGGUAGUGAAACCAUCCAGAGAAGAGAGUUCCAAAGAACCAUCUAAGAAGAUUCUUCAACAGUCCUGACAGACGUUUUACCCAGUGGAGAAGAUCUCUUCCUGGGAAUUGCUGGCCCUUUAUCCAAGUUCCUUGACAGGUUAAUGGGGUACAUGGACAGGAGACUUCUGCUUUAUCCCCUGGAGCCCUGACAAUUUAAGGUGUUACCUGGCUCAGCUCCUAGACGUGAGAGGAAGGAAUAACUUGCACUUCUCCCCAGUGAUUUCCUGAUGCUCACUGGUGGAGAACAGACAUGAUUCACUCCAGAAGGUACUGCUGAGCGCUCCAAGCUAUCUGAUCUGUCAAGCAAGGUUGGUAGCAUCGACUCCCGUGAGAUUUCCCUCUCCUGAGGAGAGGCUGGUGUGUCAGCCCCAGCUAACUCUCAGAGGCCUGACAUCAAGCUGUGUAGAGUUUUGUUAGAAGCUGACUGAAAACGUGGUGCUGUUAUUAUCUGACACUGGCUGAAACAAAAGCCAAAUGUUGAUGAAUGUCUGAUCCUAAAAGUAAACAGUUUGAUUUUUUUUUUUUUUUCUUUGCGAGUCAGGGGCCCUCUAGGGUUUUAUCUGAUUUUGGCAAUCUCCUGCACAUUUUGGGGCCUGGAGCAUGGUUUUAAUUGUUACAUCACAAAAGUUGCCAAAUAACAUUGAAUGCUCCUUAAAAACUCUCCCAAUUUUAUGGAACUUCUCAACGGCUUGACUAAUACAAUAAUUACUGGAACUCGGCUAUGUUGCCUAGUGGCAAAUGGAAUUUUUUCAUAAUGAUCCUGUCUGUCGUUAAUAGCAGGAUUUGUUCUUUCUCUCAGCGGGAGAGAGGCCAGAAAGCCAUGGUAUCUGUCUUUUUUAAUGACAGCCAACAGCAAACGGAUAAAAUAAUCAAUUAUAUCUACAGAUAGGUAGAUAAAGUAUAAUUUAUCAUGUCAAAAACAAAAAUGUUUUUAAUUGGGCUGUUAAUCAUUUUGUAAUUUUGACUAAAGAGAUGGGGGCUCUACUUUAUGCACAGACAUCACUAAUAUUUCAUACAACAUUAGCUGAUCUUAUUAUAGCUUUAAUAAUAGUGUUUAUUACAAACUGCCAAAAUAUAAAAUGUGAUUUCUGCUCUCAUUAGCUGAAGCCUUUGCAGUUAUAAAGGGAUGCCCUUCCCUUUUAUUUUUCUCCUUCUAGAAAGAUCCAGGGAAAAAAAGGGGGGGGGUUAGCUGACUAACCAGCUGUAACAGUUUCUAGAAUAUGCUGAUCUUUCUGUUUGAUUAAGAGUACCCAUCCUAGUUACCAACGAAUGUGUUACUGAAAUGAUUUUUAAUUUUUUUUUUUUUUUUUUACAGCAAAGCAUAUAAGCAGGUAAGUAUAACACAGUAAAGAUUGGAAUUUGGAAGUUUUGAUUUCUAGCCACACCUGUGUUGUCUUGUGGGAAGCUGGGCAGAUCAUUUAAUCCCUCCUAACUUGUUUUCCCUGUCUGUAAUGUUGGUAUUAGAUAGCUGCCUCAUCAGACGGCUGUACAGUAUCUAAGUGUUGUAAGAUUCCUGAAAAUUUGUAAUAAAGAUGGUAAACAUCUGGAUGGAUGACUGCAAUAGCAGUCUCCCUGACAGCUAGCCCUUUGAAGAAGGAAAUAGGAAGUUUAUGGCUGGACCUAAAUCUUCCCCAUAUUAUAACUGAAAAUGUCCUCAUGAUGGUUCCUGAUUUCAGGAUCAGUGAGGAAUCGUCUAGCAAAUCAUCUAGAAAAAUCUCACAGCACUGGGGUACUUUGGCUGUCUACUCUUCUGUUAUUAUUCCUAUCGAUGUCACGAGCAGAUGCCCUACGUGGGACAAGAUCUCUAUUUUACCUAUAAAUUCUACAUUAGAAAAAUGCCAGCCAUGCUAGGAAAAGAAAUGUUGUGACUCUUGAGGACCCUUUUGCCUCAAAUACACUGGAAUUACUUCCCUGCUUCAGAAGUGUUUUGCAGAGGCAAAUUAAUCUCCAUUCCUCUCAAUUUGGUUUCCCUCUGAAAAGCUCUACCUGCCUUAAAUCAAGAGCCAGCCUCUGAAGUACCUGUUUGGGAGCAGAACAUGCACUUAAUGUUGUUUGGCAAGGGCAGAUUUCACUUUCAAUGUUACAGUGGAUGUUUUUGGCUAUGGGUUGAGUUUUACGUCCAUAGCAUCUCCCAGUGAUGCACGUAACACAGAGAGGGGCAGGACUGCCCUUCCUGUAACUGGAUCUUCUCUGGGAAUGGGGGAAAUUUAGUGGAUUGAGUGGGGUUUUUACAGGUCUAAUGGCAGGAUUGAGGCUGUAUUCAUACUGGGAAACAGGGAGGAGAGGCUCUGGAGCUGGCUUGCCCAAGCAUAAAUAAAUUGGAGGUGCACGAACAUUCAAAAAAUUCCCAGAGAAUCACGUUGCACAACUUAAUGGGCCUGGUGCCUUCACCUGUGCCAAUUUUAUGUGACUCUUAACUCUGGCGUUAAAUAAAAACGAGACUUGCUCUAAUGACAUCAACAGCCUGCGGUGAAGAAAAUAUGCUGCUACUUUGAUACAGAUCCCCUUUUAAGGAGGACACAGUAGACAGCCAAGGCUCUUUUUCCCAUCUGUUAGGUGAAUGUUACGAUUCCCUGCUCGGAGGCACGCUCUCAACAACACUCCUCCGCUUUCAGCAUUACACUAGAUGAUUUUUAAUAAGAAUAUGGUUAUCUGCUGCCCCUGGUUUUGCCACCUUGAUUUUACUCUCCUUCUCCAUUACAUGAAAGAAUGGAAAAGGGGGACAUGAGUUAGCUGGGGGAGGGGAGCAAAUAGCAUGGGGAGGGCGUUAAAUGAACCAGCUGUUAUGUGUGAAGUAUCUGCUUUCUAAUUGCUUCUGUUGGAAUUCAGGGGAAAAAGGCACUGGCUACACUUAAUUAAUAAGGCAGGACUCACAUAAACUCCAGCUGUGAGCACAGGACUGGUCUUUAAAGGAUAAGCUCAGGAGGUGGGGCAGAGAGUUUGAUUUCCUUGCACUAAAUCCCAUCACAUGCUGCUGGUAGUGUGUGUGUCCACUUAAGCCUUUUGGUUGGUCUGUCUGAACCAGACAUGAGGUAUCUGUUGCUGUCCACGUGCCCCACCCCAAGAAAAAUGAUCUGUCCUCAGAAAUCAAAGGUGUGAGGCUUUGUUUCAAGCUAGGGUGAAACCGCUGUGUUUUCACUCGAGUUUGGAAUCCCUAAAAAGCGGGGAGGUUUGGAUCAAAGGUUUUUGUUCAGACUUAACAAAAGCAUGGCCUUUUGCAGCUGGACCCAGAUAUAGGUUUGCCCCUUGGUCCGCUUUUCUGCCUAGUUCCAGAAGGUUUGGAUUUGGCAUCCUGUCAGCAUCUCUCAUCUGGGCUCUGCCUCAGGAGCUUUGCUGCAAGGGUAACACUGGUGGGGUAGUUGUGCCACUGAUGCCUCCAGACCAUGUCCAAAGGACAUUUUCCAAUGAUCCCUUUGAGGAGAACAAUGCCCAGUUAAUUUCUCUUUUUUUGAGAAGGGCUCAAAAAGAUUAUCAGGAAUUUCCCCGAGUCAUAGAUAAUGCCCCUAAAACCCACAUGGAAAUGCAAAUGCCACAGUGUUUCCCCAUUUUGUCCGGCCUCAGGUCUCACUGCCCCCCACCACCAGUGAAAGGUCUUGCCAGUCAGAGCACAGCAGUACUGGGGUCUGUGCUGAUACCGAAGUCUUCUUCCACUUCCCAUGGGAUGGCGUCUCUGGAUUUCAAAACUUGUUGUUUAAGUGUGUUACGCUAGGAAACAGUGGAAUCAGAAAAAAAGGUGGAGAGGAUGUUCCCAUGUAGUUAAGAGCCUGUUUUUCCUCACUGCCUGUGGAGGGAAAUGAGCUUCCUGCUUAAGGUGAGGUGUCAUUUGCUGGAUGGAAACCUUUGUGUCCCAGCUGGGCUGCUCCUUUCGGUGCCACCACUCAGAGCAGGUCUCUUCCAGUGUGACCGCUCUCCCUUCCAGGCCCUCUCCUUUCCUGGUGCCAUGCUCCUGCCCUUCAUCUGUCCUGACGCUCCUCAGAUGAGUGCUAGGGUCAGCACAAGGGAGGGGACAUGGCCAUGUGGCUGCAAAUGGGUUGGGAAAGGAAGAGCGCUCAUUUUGGCACAGAGAGCCCAGCUGUUCAUUCUCACCGCACCCUUCCUCCACAGGCUGGAGCUGAGCAAGUCUCCGUUUGACUUUGUCAUGCUCCUUUUCCUCUUUCUCUGCUGGGGACCACCCACCACCUUCCAUAAGCUCCCUUCCAUGAGCUCCAAAAAUGCAAGAACCCUUCAGAUUUCUGGUCAGAGUCCUUUGUUGUUUUGAAAGGUAACUAAUGCAAGGUUCAAGCAUCCAGGAGGAUUUUGGUGUUUCACUGCUCCUGAUUUCAGGGACAGCUAGGCCUGGUGUGGGACUAAACACACAGAUGCAUCAAUAGCGCCAGUCCCUUGAGGUAGCUGCAUGGAGCUGGACUUCCCACCCAGAGAGGAAAACAAUUCUCAGGUGUUACAGCAUGUUUCCAAGCAAGCAAGGUGGGGCGUCACUUUGCAAAGCUCUAUAAACAGCAGCUCUUUGUCUCCUCCAUUUCUCUUCACCCUGAACGUGUUGCUAUUUUCAAAGGUUGGUUUCAAAGUGCUGAUUCACAGCCACCAGCUGUAUUAUUUUAUCUGAGGAGAUUAGGGCUGAGAAUGUUGUGGUUUUGUAGUGAAAAGACUCCAUUGGAAAUGGCAGCAUAUUUGACAUGAGACUGUUAUUUAUGCUCAAAUAACCAUCUCAUUUAAGGACAAGGAGUCUUUUUUUUUUUUCUUUUCAAGUUUAGAUCAAUCAUGUAUGAAGACAAACUCCCACUCAGCCUCCCUUGGACCCUAAUACUUUCAUUUCAUUCUUCUUCUGCUCAUUAUUUUAUGAUUUUGUCCUUGACUGGAACAUUUCUCUCUUGUUCUUCCUUACAUGCACCAUUAAAGAGGGAAAGAACUUACAUUUAAAGCUCAAGCCUUGUGUAGCUCUUAAGCCAUAAAUAAUGUUUUAUACAGAUUCUAAGAUUAUUAAAUCCUUUUAGUUAGCCUCCCUCUUACUUUUACAGCUCAUCUGAUUAGAGGGGACAUAUUCUUUUGAAACUUGUCUUAACUAUUUCUGUUUCGCUUUUGCAAGCAGACAUGAGAAGACAGGAUCUGGCUGUAUGCAUUGCUGAUCGGAAGACUUGCCGUAGGAAUGCAAAAAAGCUUGCCUGCAAGAGAACUGAUUGUUGGCAUAGAAAAAAACUCCAGAGAAGCCCUGUAAUUCUGAGAUGUAGUUGACUUUCUAAAUACAGGCAAGUCGACAACUGAAAUUGAAAUCUAUCUGGGGAUAGAAAUGCAUUCAAAAUAUACUACUUCUGGAGAGGGCUGACAGGCACAUAGACAAUGAAGGGAAUGCUUUGGUAUGAGGAGAUAGUUAUGCACGGGUAGUAACCGAUUUUGGACAGCCGUAGGAACUAACCCAUUGGGCUCUGUGCAUCACCGCCCCUAACUACAUAUGCAGCUCCUUUUGAUACCAGGGCCAGGCUUCACAGAGCCAGGCAUCUGAAGUUCAGCUUUUCCCUACAAAUGCAGCCAAACCAGCUGCCGCAGUUUGCAGAGAUCCUGAGACUAUAGUGCUGAGCUGCUCUUCAUUCUGCAUGAUGAAAUCUGCUCAGCUCAGACAGUACCUCAGGGGUAUGGCCAGUUAGUCAGGCCUUGCCAGUAUUACAAACUACAGAGCUGAGCACAUAGAGGAAAAAUAUCCCUACUAGAGACAAAUCUAGUGAAAAGUGCUGAAAAGCCUCACAGUAGACAGCCUACACAACGAAACCAUCUCCUCCAAUUAGUCCAUGGUCAUCAAUGAGGCAAAUGUCUCUGCCUCCUGGGCCAGACAGGGUGGUGUUUUAAUAAUAGGCAUAAAUCUAUUGUGCUUUUCUCCUCAUGACCUAGCAUAUUGUCAGGGCAAUGCAUACCCCAGAGAAGGAGCAGAAUUUAUGUGUACAAUAACACAAUAGUGCUUCAGUGAUAUCAGCUGUUUGAUGAACUUUAAUAUACAUUUGCUAUAAACCAGGCAGCAAUUACCAGAACGUGAUACCCAAAUAAAAAUCCAUGAUCCAUUUGCACGACAGAUCUUCAAUUUACUCACAUUCAUGUGAAAGAGACACAUAAAAAUUAUAUCCAUGCUUAAAAUCACUUAGAAGCAGUCUGAAAGACCCCACAGUUGCAAGUGAUACUGCAGUACUUAGCUAAUACUCAUGUUUCGAUGGCUUUGCCUUCAUGAUUCUUCCAGUGGUUCCUUUAUAUUUUCUGGUAUUUUGCCAAACACCUGUGAAUCAGUGCACAACAAAUAUUCCUGCCAUUUAAUUUAGCCUUGCACAGAAAGGCUAUAUUAGGCCUGAUGCAGACCUAAUCCCAAACCUCUAAAGAGGUUUAAGGCACUCUGGUUUCACCUAAUCCCGAAACCUAAACCAGAAUCAUUGAAAACCUCCAUACCACCACAGGAAUGGGCAAAUAAAGGGUUUCCACUAUGAAAUUAUUAAAAGGACACAGUGUAUCUUUCGGAUUUGAGACCUAAAGCUUUACCUAAGGAGCUUGGACUGUCCACAAUAAAAGUGUUUAUUUUGAAGACAGGAGGUUGAAAGGUUUAUUUGACUAGAGGGCUGGCUGAUUUCACCCCUCCCACCCAAAAAAAGAAGAGGGGUGAUCCCCUAGAAGAGUGAAAAAUGGGAAAAGGGAUGAACAAGUAAUGAGGCAGGGGCAGCCCAGCAAAGCAGCCAAAGAAAAUGAAGCCCAGGUUUCUGUUUAAGCCUCAGUCAUGGCCCGCUGUGAGAAAGAGCAAGAGCACAGCCCCUAGAGCACAACUGGGCUGCUGGUUCCUGAAGUUCCUCACAGCAAACAUGUAAGGAAAGACUUAUUUGAGAUAUAAUAAAUACAUUGCUGCUGUUCAAAAUGGAGAAUCUGCUCUUUUGAGAUCUCUUACUGAUGGGAGAGAACAUGUAAAAACAUGCACUGUAAUGGAACUUUCAACUACAAAUUGCAUCCAACUGUAAUAAAUUUGAUCUUGCAUUAA